rnacentral:rRNA from 1 species
GUAGGUGGCAAGCGUUGUCCGGAAUUAUUGGGCGUAAAGCGCGCGCAGGCGGCCCUUUAAGUCUGAUGUGAAAGCCCACGGCUCAACCGUGGAGGGUCAUUGGAAACUGGGGGACUUGAGUACAGAAGAGGAAAGCGGAAUUCCAAGUGUAGCGGUGAAAUGCGUAGAGAUUUGGAGGAACACCAGUGGCGAAGGCGGCUUUCUGGUCUGUAACUGACGCUGAGGCGCGAAAGCGUGGGGAGCAAACAGGAUUAGAUACCCUGGCAGUCCACGCCGUAAACGAUGAGUGCUAAGUGUUAGGGGGUUUCCCGCCCCUUAGUGCUGCAGCUAACGCAUUAAGCACUCCGCCUGGGGAGUACGGCCGCAAGGCUG